GCUGAUAGGGCUGCGUUAGCAGGUCGCUGUGAUAUAGCGGUUGUGAGAUUUAUCUUCGUCGGUA